rnacentral:rRNA from 1 species
ACGCUCGACACCUACGGGGAGGCAGCAGUGGGGAAUAUUGCACAAUGGGGGAAACCCGUGAUGCAGCGACGCCGCGUGAGCGAAGAAGUAUUUCGGUAUGUAAAGCUCUAUACAGCAGGGAAGAAAAUGACGGUACCUGACUAAGAACGCCCCGGCUAACUACGUGCUAGCAGCCGCGGUAAUCUGGAGGCGGGCGUGGCAAGGC